rnacentral:rRNA from 1 species
UACGUAGGGCGCAAGCGUUGUCCGGAUUCACUGGGUGUAAAGGGUGCGCAGGCGGGCUGGCAAGUCAGGGGUGAAAUCUCACGGCUUAACCGUGAAACUGCCUUUGAUACUGCCAGUCUUGAGUUCGGGAGAGGUUGAUGGAAUUCCAGGUGUAGCGGUGAAAUGCGUAGAUAUCUGGAAGAACACCGGUGGCGAAGGCGGUCAACUGGCCCGUAACUGACGCUGAGGCACGAAAGCGUGGGGAUCAAACAGGAUUAGAUACCCCCGUAGUCC